AAGGCUUUAAGUUAAUAAAACUAAUAACCUUCAAAGCUAUAAAUAAAGAAAUUUCUUUAAGCCUU
rnacentral:tRNA from 1 species